rnacentral:misc_RNA from 1 species
AUUCAACUGAGGUAUCAGGGCAACUUCCAUCAGAGAGAAAUUCUUUACUGAAUGGAGGAGGAAUGAAUGGUGGUGAAGUACAUCUUAGAAGUGCCCAAUUGACUCCUUGGAAGAAUGGAUGGUGUUUGAUUGCUGUAGCACCCAUAGUUGAUCCCAUUCUUCGCGCGGGAUCCUUAGUAAGGAGUUGUGAUAUCAGGUCUUUAACUGGGGCUGGCAUUGAUGGUUCCUUAGGGAAUUCGAGGGCUCGG